rnacentral:lncRNA from 1 species
GUGGAUGAUUUUGAACUAUAUCAACAGCUUCUUGAUUGCUUAGGUGCUCCCAGAGCCCAUCCGAUGCAAAUAUCACGAAUUGAUCAUGUGGCUGCAGCUGGUGCACUGAUAUCGAUGGGUCUGCGCUCAAUAUUGGCUUUUUGAAAGGUUCCCGAAGGCGAAAUUUGGGAUAUAAAGGCUCCCUGUUGAACUCAGCUUUUUUUAAAUAUACAUCACCGAUAGAUCUAGAAACCUGAAAGGCCAAGAAUUCCAUUAAUAAACUCUCACAAAAAGUAAGAGGCAGCAGAACAAACCAUGGAAAACCAUAGCAAGGAAAUUAUAAUCUUGCACUGCUGGACAGAUUGCAUGCACUUGUGAAAUGUACUAAACCUCUCUAUCUCUCAUUUGGGGGGAACAAGUGGUUGUUUUUAGUAAUCUUAUCACAGAUAGAAUUAACACAGUGACGCACUCUGGUCAAGUUCAAGGUUUGACAAAACGGAUUGCAGUUGUGGCAGGAAAUUUGCACAUAAAGAAGAAUUGCCCGUGGCAGCAAUAGAAUCUCUUCACAUAUGAAAUCCAAGAAAUUAGUCGUGCUUCUAGGUUCCCAAUUUUCUUGAGAAGCUUUAUAAUAUUUGUAAAGAUUCCGAUUGAAAAAUGAGACCUUGCUGGGAAGUUUCUCAACCAAUUGACUAAGCAUCAGAAACCAGUUUAAACCAUCACUCAGAAUUUUUACUUAUAAUUCAUUCUCUCUUUAAAACCUGGAAAUCAUAUAACUGUAAAACACAGGGUAAUUAAAACCUAGCACGUCAGGAUAUUUCCUUUUACCAAUCCUCUUUGGCAACAAAGCUCAUAUACCUGUACAGAGCUGAAAAGUCAUACAGCUAAAGUGAUUCCAUAAUAAAGCCUAAAGUAGCAAAGUAACCAACUCCAGGCUCACCACUGAGCUUAUUAGUUCCAGAUCUGGAAUAUAUGGAUAAGUGUUAUCCACGGAUAACCAUCAAAUCACUUUCUUGCAAGAGAUCAACAUACAAUCCAACAAAAUUUUUAGAUUCCAUCACUUUAUGCAACAGUAAAUAAUGCUAAUUUAUCCCUUUCCAUCAACUUUGAUAAUUACUAAGUUCUCUCAUAUUCAAAGGUCUUUCUUAUUUCCCUUUCUCUUUUGGCUUUGCAGAUACAUCCAUGCAUCCAACUGAAUAACAGGCAUCCUUCCCCUCCUCAGCUCCACCCUAUCUUUACCACAUGGGAGGAGAAGAUACCAUGCAGCUGAUAUAUCUAUUUCUUUCUAACAAAUUAAACCCCUUUUUUCUCCAGAAAACUGCCCUCGGAAAUGUAAUCAUAUAAAUACAUCUUCACUCCAAAAAGGAAGCACGAAUAAAUAAAACAUUGCCCCAGGUUCAUGCCUUGCUUUAAGAAUUUAUUAUAAAUCAAGCUAGAUAAAACAAACUUUCAAAUAUUCAGAAUUCAUAAACAACAUGCUCUAUGGUGCUCAACUUAGACAAGAACUGGUUCAAGCUCUCUAUGCGUCUUGCAGCACAGAUGAAUAGAAGCAGUACUUGCUCCUUUUUUUAAAAUGGCUAUUCUUGUAGACAAAGGUAAUUUAAGCCAUAAGUAGAAGCAAGUUUCAAUGUCACAGCAAUGCAAAAGCAUCAAUGUUUAGAAAAUGGUGACAUUAACUAGUCAUCUUAGCAGUUAAGUAACUAUUAAAAUUAAAAAUUGUUUGCAUAGUGAAACUUACCUGUAUGAGACCUUUCACACGCCAUACAUUGUACUUCAAAACUACAAUUUGUGGGUCAUCAGGGUGCAAUGACUGCAGCUCCUGCCUUACAGACUCUAUGCAGACAUUAUGCUCAGCCGACAGCUGAACAGCUAGUACCUCUCCUGUUGCCUUCACAGCUCUCCCCAAAACAGCACGCGAAUCACCAAGGUUGGCAACAUAAAGGGUUCCACCACAGAUAACACCAACCAGGCAGCAGGAUCCAACAGCUGCGAUUUGUGGUUUCAUAGGCCACUGUUUGGUAACAAGAGACAAAAAACCUUCUUCUGUUGCUUGAUAUGCUUUUCGUAUCACAUCAACUGACAUUGUCUGUUGCUCUGAAGUUAACCCUGAACAUAGAAAAUAUUUCAGAAUAACAAACACCAUCGAUGCCAAAGUGCAUGAAGGAAAGAAAGAACAAGUAGAGAUAUCUCUGAUGUUUGCAAUUUUAUUUCUUUCUUUUAGUAUUAUAUACCAGGCUCUACAUCUACCAAUUGGAAUUGACACACAAAACGACAAAAGUGAUCAAAAAGAACUGAUGACUUUUUGGACUCAAAACAAAAAACCCUUAACUGUGGCAGCAACAAGUUCACUACACUAAUUAGUUUUAAUCAAUUAAUUAUAUCCAAAACAAUUGCUUAUUUAAUACUUCUUUCCUCUACUUCCUUAAUCAGUAAAUAGACGGCAACAGAAACUAAACCCUAGGAAAGGCAAAAGUACUUACUCUUGAGAUGUUGAAAGAGAUGAUCAUUGAUGUAGCGCGAAGUCUCUGGGCCCCCAUGCCCAUCAUAUACGCCAAUAAAAGUACCAUAGGGACCCAACUCAUGUGAACUCAAAGAACCAGACGCAAGCUGGCUCUGGUCCUCAAGUAAAUUGUUGGCUUGAACCACUGCCAUUGAGAACUCACCACUAAAGUGCUGCCCUGUGUCCUUGUACCACAAAAGCCCAUCUUGGCGACCUCCAGCAUCUGAACUUGUGUGAACGUAUCGAUCAGACCUUGGCCGAAAACAGGCCCUCAAAAAGUUCAUCAACCCAGAUAACAUCCCUCAUCUCAUCCAAAAAACCCUCCGAAUUCUCCACAUCUAAAUAACCACUGAAUACAAACUAUACCCUAGAAGCCUGAACAGUGAACCGUAUCCUCCUUUGCUUCUCAACACAAUAAUUGUACACUAUACCAACAUCAGCAACAACGCACACCCAAAAGGUUAGCAAUAAUGCAAUGUGCCAUAAAGGCUCAAAAGCAACUAAACCAAGAAAACGACAACUACAAAUUAUAUGUUCCACUACUCCUCAAGGGGCAAUUAACAGCAUCAAUCAGAAAGUACAAUAAAUUCGAUUACUAUAUAAUGAAUAACUAUCAGAUCAAAUAAAUGAUGUAGUAGAAGCCACCUCUCUCAGUUUGUUUAGUUAUUAAGAUUAAGCUCAAACAACAGAAACUGUUCCCUCUUUAAACAGGAAGGCCAUGACCGUAAUAGCUCCUUUUGCUGAAAAAAUCAACAAAACACAAAGGAGGGGUUUUUGAAAACAACGGAAUUGGUCAAAGCUCACUUUUUCUUUCUUUUUUUCUAACAAAGCAGUCGGUCAGCCCUUGGGAAAUCCAGAAGGUCUAAUAUUUCACAUUGAGAAUUUUAAACAGCCCAGUUUCACGUAUCCCUUUAGACCCAAUAAGCAUCAUAAUUCAACUUGUAUUUCCCACACUAAAUAUUAAAAAAAGAAGAAGAAGAAACUUACCUUUUCAUUUGACCCCUUUGGUUUAUAAUUGAAAAGGAGGAUCUGGAAAUGGGAAAGGGAAAAACUUCAUGUGGGCAUGAAACUGGAAUUAGCAGAUCUAUGGAUCAAUCAAAUCAAAGCAAGAGAAAAAACAAAGUUUGGAAUUUGGUUGGCUUCAACUAGUGAUGAGAUAAUUGGAGAAGAUGAAGGAGGAAAGCACAUAAUAGAGAAAUGGUUGAGUUCUUUUUUUUUCUCUUUAAUUUCUCUUACGAAAAAAGAGAAGUCUUUUUAUGUGAAAGAUUUUGGCUUUGGCCCCCAACAACUUACAUAAACUCUCUUUCUCUCUCCUUUCUAUCUUGCUUUUCCAUCUCCCUCUUGUGUCUCCCUCUAAUUCUCAGCAGACAAGACCAUAAAAGACCAACAAUGGAGAGCUUGAAGCCAGCAAAGCAAUGGUCCAGUUUUGGGCUCCACACCACUAUGGUAAUAGAGAGAGAGGAAAUUAGAAAAAGAGAGAGAGAGAGAGAGAAGAUUCACAGCUUGGAGAGAGUCAAUGAAAUCAAGUUUUGUGGACUAUGGUAUUCAACAUCACCACAUAAGAUGAAAGGGAUCACACGUGGCAGCACAGGUUGCUUGCCACGAACGUUAUUAUUACCGGUGUUACGGUGUAUUCAUCUACAUCCACUAAGUUGCUACACGUGUUAAUUUCUGGAUAGUAGGAUGAAAUCUUCAUGCGUAUGGCGGUGGUCGUUAUUACAGGUUACUGUUAGAAACGGAGUAACAGCGUCAAACCUCGCUCGCUCCAUCGUUAAAACUCAAAGCCUGUUUUUGUUUGUCUAUGGAUUCGAUCAGGGGAAUUCGGAGAAAAGGGCCAAUAGCAUGCCUAGAAUGUUACAUUCUGAGGGUAUUUUCGUCACUAAGGAUGCGGGUGGAUGAUUUUUAGGUGGCUUGUUUGUUUAACAAUCUGUUGGGUAAAGCAAUUCAUGAAAUUCAGAGCCUUUUUCUAGCAAGAUGGAUUUUUUAAAUUGUCAAAUUUAGAAAGAUUUUUUUUUUCUCUACAUCAAUUCAUUUUGGAGGUUUAGACAAUGUGGACCGAUGCCAUGUAAUAGCCUGGAUGAGUUUAGUUGAGUUCUCUGCACAAAAAUGAGCAGAGUCAAUGAUUUCUUUAAAUGAGAUGAAUGUCUAACAUUGAUCGAAUACAGCUUAUAGUAGAGGAUAUAUUCAUAAUAAUUUUUCUGUUUUGUAAGGUAUAGCAUAUGCUUGUGAUGUCACAAAAGCAGAGCAUAAAGACUCAGAAAUUUCCAGCUUUAGUAAGCAAAAAGAAAUGAUUGCAAGGUUUGAUGUUUAACAUCUUGGCCCAGAGAGGAUGACGAAGAAACAUAAACUGUGACAUAGCAAACAUCCAAAUGAACAAUGACAAAAGCCAAAGAAAAUUAAGAAAUUGAAAGGAAAUUCAAACAAGUUUCAGUUGAUGGAAAAAGCAUUGUCAAUUCUCUUCUGGCAUGCCAAGACUAGGUAAACAAAUUUUACAGGUAAUUACAAGUCAAUAACCCAUGCAGUUAACUAAAACUAGACAUAAAAGGGGAUUAUUCUACAUAAAUAAAUGGCAAAGAUUAACAGUAUAAGGCCCAAGGAAGAAGAUUAUGGACAACAAGUUACAGAUGUUUCAACUCUUGGGACAAAGGUCGCAAGACAAGGAUCAACAGAAACAAGGAAAGGAAAUCCCACUUAAAACCCAGAAGAAAAAAUUAAAUCCCAAUUAAAAAUAUUAUGUCAUCAACCCUGAAGAAAAGCUGGCUUAAAAUCAAAACCAAGGCUAAUGCAAAGCUAGCCUGAGACCAGACAAGAGAAAUUCCUCGUAGCCACAUUGUCCUCCCUUUUUUCUCAUUAAACCCACAAAUUUCAAGCAGAAGAUAACUUCAAAGGCAAAUUAACAAUUUUUGCAGAACAAAAUAAACCCACCUAAAUAUUCUUCAAAACCAGGUUGGUGUAGAUUAAAAAGCAGCGAGAAUGUUGCAAAUAAAGAUAGAACACAAGUGAAGCUCAAAAUGUGUCAAGGGGGAAAAGGAAAAGUACCCACCGAUUGAUUUCCUCCAAACCAGAUUGCAAAUGAACCAUAUUAGCCUCUAGCAUUCUUGAGACAUCCUUCCCAGAAUCAUAAGCCCUAAUGAAAUGAUCCUCAAUAUCCUUCACGGCUUCUAAAAGCUCCCUUUCCUUUUCUGGGCUGUCAAUAACUGUAAGCCCCUUCUGCUCUCCUUGGCUCACAUGAGUCUCCUCCUUAACUUUAAUCAGACCACUUUCACUCUCUUCAUGCUCCCUGCAGCUAGUAUCUUUUUCUUCAACAAAGACAACUUUUUUCUCUUCCUCUUUGCUAUCUCCUACCUCUUCUAGAUCUGGUAUCCCUUCCUCUUCUCUCACCGCUCUUAAAUCAUCAUCAGAACACCUGUUAUACCCACUUAUAAUCUCUGGUCUAACAACAUCAAAUGGAUUAAAAAAGUCCCAACCGAAAUCUCUUUGUGGUGAUGGCAUUGGCGGUGGCAUUUGCAUAUAAAAGUACCCACAAGGUUGUUCUUCUUCUUCUCCUCUUUACCACCUCUUCUUUAGUGUCUUCCUCUGAAGUACCUGAGCUUGUUGAAGAAUAACAAGACUCGCAAGCAAUGGCUUCAUGGGUUGACUCUGAAGGUGUUUGUUGGAGGAACAUUGUGUUGGUUAUCACAUUUUGAUCUGUAGCUGGCGGUGUAGGUGGAGGAAAGGUGAAGAAGGUGAAGAAUGGCGAGCUACAAAGAGCUUAAUAGCAGCUGCCACUGCAUAAAGAGCUUGACAGUACCUACAAUGUGCUUCUGCAGGUGCAUAUCUUCUAUCUCUGCUAGCUUUAUAAGGCGUUUUCUUUCUCUACAGAUUGACACAACUUCUUCUUGUUCCUCUAGUCUAGAAGCAACACUGCCCAUCUCCCUUGCUAAAGCCUGGAGGUGUUUUUCUGGUUUCAACAGGCCUAGAAGCUACUACUUUUGAAUAAAUGGGGACAGUGUAAAGUAAAGAAAGGUGAUCCUUGGAAGGAAUCAAUAAGUAUUAUUUUCUGAUAAAACGGAGGUGGGGUUGUAACAAAAUGGAAGAAUGAGUUAGAUUUUACAAAGGUUUGAGAGAAUCAAAGAAGGAAAAUGUAGCUUUUGGGGAAUUUUUAGAAUAAGCCACUUCAUCUUUUGAUAAGAAAAAAAAAGUUGGUUUCCUUCCUGAAACGUAGCUCCUGCAAAAGUUUUAUAUUUUCCCAUUUCAUCUCUUGGCACCAUGCACCCACAUACGAAAAGAAUCCUACAGAGGUGGUUCCUCCUUGUAUUUUCUUUUUACCUUUAUUCCUUGAGAGGGGAAAAAAUUCUUUUCCUAUGCUGAAAUGUUGAUAAUUAUCCGUUAAAACACUCUAAUUAGUUUGAGAUUAGUAGACAAACUAAAUAUCAUGAAGAGUGAAAGAGUAAGUAGAGCAGUAGAUGACAGAGUAAAGGCCAGGAAAGAGACUAGAUGGUAAGGUAAAGAAGGUAGGGGCUCGAGAAGGAGAGAGAAGGGACAGCUCUAGUGUUUGGUAUUUUUACACUAUAAAAUUGGUGUGCAACAAUGGCAAGCACCCACUAUAUCAUUUUUAGUGCAAUAAAAAGAUUAAAAAAAUAUUUCUGCCAAAUUUAGCGCAGAUUUUUGAAGCAGACAUAUGUCCAUUGGGCAGUCUUGUGAGUAAAAAGAGGAGUCAAAUGUACUAUAGUUAAUUAGUAGUAAAAGGAUAGCGACCAGACCACUGCCAAAACCACACAGAGAGAGAGAGUUCUGUCUUUUCCUUAGGUAUCCCUGUUUUUUUUAACUGCUCCUUCCUCCCUUGCAAUCCUCUCUAGUCUCUAAUAAUGGGAGUAUAAUUGUGUUACCUACCACAUGUUUAAGGCCUUUAAUGAAUUGUUAAGUGGAGGAAUUUACAAAAGCAGAAGGUUUAAGCUUGUCUGUCAGUGUCAUUUACUGCUACAUGGACAAAUCUGUUCCUUUGAAAGUUUUAGGCUGGCUCUCUCUCUCUCUCUCUCAAAACUGGGAUUUUGGCAAUAGCACUAUAUUUUGCAAGGAUUUAGAGUUCUGGGUGGUGUGGUAUGGAAAAGAAGGUUCCUGUUUGGUCCAUAAAUGAAUAAUGUGAUGCCAGAACUACUGACAAUUCCACAUGAACUUGCAGGUUUUUUUUUUGGAAGUCAUUCAGUAAGAUUUCAUUAAAGAAGAAAGGGGGAGAGAAGUUCCCCAAUUCAGAAACAGACCUUGGUUGCAGGACAAAACCACAGAUAUUGGAAGAUAUGCUCACUAACUACCAGGUAUAACCCCCAAUAUCCCAUGGCCCGAACAGCCCUGUCAGGCAUCAGUCCCUCCAGAACGAAGAACAGACACCAGGAGAACCCAAAAUCCUCCCAAAAAACCUCACUCCCGCAACAACAGAAAACAUGCAGGAGAAAGAACAAGACCCCAAAAUCAUGUACAAAAACCACCCAACAACAAGUAUCCCCUACAAAGCACCCAGGGGUUGAGCUAAAGACCUAUCUAAAUUCCAUAAGCCUGUACACAUAUGAAUUCCUAAGAACAUAAAAACGUAUCAACCUUUGAAACCUAACUGACCAUCGGUCCAGGAAGACCUCCCUGCAUCAAGACUCAUCUUCAAACAAUAGUUCUGACAGUUCAGCUUUAGCAAACAAUCACACAACAUCAGAAAGACCACAACUCGCCUUAAACAGAAAAAAAAAAGAGAUCAACAGCUUACGUGAAGAUUCUCAAGAUGUCAAACUGAAGGUGAGCACCCUCCUUUGCUAAAGCAUCAGCUCUCUGGUUUGCCUCUCUCUGGCAUGUUGAAUCUCCCAUCCCUCCAAUCCUUCUUUCAAACUCUCCAAUUGUAGAACCACUUUUCUCAUUCUCCACGGAGCCGUAUCGGGAUGAGUCGUCCACUUUACCGUAUUGCCCGAAUUGCUCUCCAUGAGGAGUUUAUAAUUAUCCUUCCAUCUUGAAGCUGAGAAAAUCGUAAACGCUUCCCUCACUGCCAUCAUCUCGGCCCAAUUAGAGUCCGCCUCACCUAUAGCUUUGGAGAAGAUGAUUUUGACUUCCCCUUUAUGAUUCCUCAAGAUCUCUCCGAUACCAGCAGGCCCCGGACAUCCUCUAGCUGUUCCAUCGACGUUGGAUUUCAAUUGCCCCUACAAGUUUUUUUCCCCAUUAAAUUCCCUUCCUUUCCUUACCCUUCUUUGCCUCCUGGCCUUGAGUUGGGGGCUGUCUAUACACAUCAAGCACUGUCGGAUAUUCCCUUGGCCAUUCAGCGUACGCCCAAAAAGCCACCCUAAUCCUAGCCAACUCCAAGACAUGAUCCAUGUUCCAUUCUUUGCCUUGACACACAGUUUCAUUUCUACUUUUCCAAAUAGACCACACAACUGCAAAGAAUCCCAUUCUCCAAAGUGUGACAUCUAACUCUCCCCACUGCCACUUGUUCCACACAACAAACAGGUCCUUUACAUUUGCCGGGAAUACCCACAUCGUGCCCCAUAUCCUGCACCAUCCUGCCCAAAUUUUCCAUGAUUCAUUACAAGUUGCAAAAAAAUGAUCACAAGUUUCCCUAUCAGCAUUACACAAAACACAUUGCAAACUAUUGUUCAAGUUCACUCCCCUUUUAACAAGUUCAUCCAUAACUCUUAUUUUCCCUUGUAGCAUUUGCCACACAAAAACCUCAACUCUAAAAAGUGCUAGGUUAGCCCACACUAUGAACUUGCAGGUUAUAAUUAACCUGAAUCAUGCAAGGUGCCAUCAGAUUCAUUUUACUUUCAAAAAAAACGUCCUGAUAGAUAUGUUACACAUCAUCUGGGUUAAUUAAGUUAAACUAUGGAUUACCAAUAAGAUUCAAAUUUGAUAUUAGUAGCCAUCCAAACCAUAAAACUGGCAUAUUUAUCAAGUAUUGGAAACUGAAUUAAGUUUCUUCUUCUAUACUCAUAUUCAAAUGAUGCAUUUAAGAAAUUAUACACCAUGAUUGAUUCUAACAGGAUUUCAGAUGAUUAAACUUUCAAACGAAUAGGAAAAGAAAGAAGGAAAGAAAGUACAGAAGAAGACGGUGCUGAAAUUACUGCUGAAACUCUUUCAAGUCAAAGUAUUGUUAAGCACAAUCCCAACACCAAAACUCUUUAUAACUAAUUUUGUCACUCACUGCAAUGCCUUUGGCUUUGUUUUCCUCUUGUCUAGUCCUGUUCCGCUCAGAGUUCAUUGUUCAGGUUUAAGUUGUUUCGUACUUCAUCUAAACCAUUUUCUCUCUCUUUUUUUUUUUAACAUCCUGAAUUUUAUAUUUUAUUUUUAUAUCACAAACCUUUUACUUCCUAAAUAAAAAUAUUUCUUCAUCAUAUCUUUUGAAAAGCUUCAUUUCUUUCAUUUAAUCAGGCUAACAAACUGAACUUACAUGGAUUUACAAGCAAAAAAGAGUUGAAAAAAAUCGAUUUUCUUAUGCUAGUCAUGUCAAUCUCAACUUUCUUGAGUAAGAUUGAAAGUAUUAUAUCUGAGUUAACAUGACACCAAGGCUGGGCCAGUGGUCGAAGAGCUUUGUGUUCAUGGUCCAUUGGUGGUUUGCUUUAUUUAUUACUUGCUCAAGAUCCUGUAAUGACUAAUGAGCUUAAUGGCUUGGAAAUUGGUGCCACAGGCCUUAGGGUUGGAGAAGUUAAAUGAAUAACACAGGAAGGGCAAUUUAGGUGAGGCAAGGGCUAACACAAAUACGCAAGUUAGGAUUUAUGCUUUGUGGGUUUUGUGAGGAUGUGCCCUGACACAAUCUGACAACAUAGGGAGGGAUAAGGCCCCUUUUCUCACCUAGGAAUUCCCUACUUCCUCCACUUUGAAUAACCAAGUUUGGUUUGCCCCAAAAAUAUGUGUUAUUCACUUUGAAUAGAACAAGAAUCAAGAGUUGGAUGGCAAGAAAUGAAAUAAGUCAAUAAAUAACAACUGUGCUUUCUGUGUUGCAGGGAGUGGAAGAGUUGCCUUUUUUUUUAAUCUUCGUUUUCCCUUCUUUAACCAUUUGGACUUGAGGACAGAAUAAGAAUAUGAGAGAGUUAAAAAUCUUGGGACAACCUCAACCUGACUGCAAAUGUCCUGUACUACUAUUGAACAACCACUACGUUGUUGGACAUGGAUGGUUGGGCUUACUCUCCAAUUUCCACCAGACAGGUGGACGACCUGAACAGACAAUAAUCCCUGCUAGAUUCUGGAUUAGGAAACCUGAAAUAUGGAGUUGUUCCAGACUAGUUUCAUUCCGGGUGAUGUAAUGACCUCCACCACCACACCCAAUCUGACAUCAAUAUAGAAUUCCAACACUGUUAACAGUUGUGAAGCAGGUAUGCCAGGUUUCUACAGAAUCUUGAUGGAAGCUUGAGAAGCCUAACAUUCAAUUUAUUUAGUAGUACUUGAAAAGUAUCCUUCCUUAGAGGUACAAGAUGGGCUGUUUGUUUCCUUUAUGCAAUGAAUUUUCCUGGUUACCUCCAAAAGAUUUUGAUAUGGAUACAGCAAUUCUUUUCUAAAUGCACAAGGAACAAUUUCCAGAGUCCUGUUUCCCAGAAUUAAAGAAGACUAUCAGAGAAAUGGAUAAACGAAAAGGUUACACGAUAAAAACAUAAGGGGAGGAAAAGAUCAACCAAGUAGACUAGGGGCCGGGGGAUUUCACCAAUGUUUGAUAUGUCGGCCAUUUGUCUUACUAGAGCCCGGCACGAGAUAAUUCCACAUUGAACACCAAUUGCACCAUUACCUCGCUACGGACAUAUAAUCACCAUGAAAUAAUUGCUUCCAACACUGUUGUCCAUUUGCCCCUUUACACAACCGAAACUGUCCGCCACGUUAGAAUCAGUAAAGAUGUUAAUAUGUUGGUAUUAUGUGAGAGUGAAAAGCAAACAGGAAUGUGAAAUAUAUUCUGCACAUUGUGGGAUUCACAACAUCAAAGAGACAAAUGCACCAACUGAAGAACAAAAGGAGACUAUUAUAUAAAGACUAAGAAAACUAUCCCAGGAAAUCUAUAACAUACUUAAAAGGAAGCCCCAAAGGGGCUUCCUCUUCUAGCCACGUGGAGGGCAUAGGAAAAAAGAGAAAAAAAAAAGAAAAAAUAAGGUAGGAAGAGAAAGGAAAAAACAGAUAGAAAGAAGCCCGUGUGCAACGCACAGGCUAUAAUCUAGUAAACUAUAAUAGUCGUCACCUCGUACUCUUCUCUAGUUCUGUUUAGGGGUUUUUUUCUCUGGCACAGAGGCUAAAUGCAGGUAUUAGUUUCCAGUUAAAAGUUACAGUGUACAUUAAAGAAUUGAAGGCUUGCUCCUCUUCUCGCUUUCGGAAGCUACCUCGUAUUCACAUAAGAGAAUGAUACAACAAAGCAAAACAUGCGAUACGACGUGAUCAGGUACUGCCAGCUUCUGUUGGCGUGGUACAAGGAGCCAGUAUAUUAGGAGGCAAGUUAACUCCUCCCCCUCUAACAGAUAGAUUAGGAGCCUUAACUGAGCUAGCCCUGCUCACCUGGUUUGAGUCAAGAAACACCACAAUUACUGUAAUGUCAUCAUGGAAAUGCCGCCGGACACCACGAUCAAUCUUCUUCAAGUCAGAAUACCUCAUUUCUCUCUUCUUUGCUGCUUCUUGUAGAGCAGUUUUUACAAGCCUCCUUGCAAUUCCCUGCAUGAAGUCCACAACAAAAUGUUAAUUUUCUCCUCUUUUAGAACCCUGUUUUAAGAUUAACUUCACAUCAUCAAUAAAAUGCAAAUGCAACAAUAUAUCUAUAAAUGAAUUUAUAACUCAAAAUCAUACAAGGAAAAUGAAAUAAACAAAUAUUACAUGACAAACAGAACCUUGUUCCUGCCCCCUCUACACAACUACAAAUGCAUGAGCAUGCGUGUGUGUGCUACAUGUGUGUGAGUAAAUUGUCCCAUGUGUAUGCAUGCAGUAAAAACCACUCAAAAGAAAAGGCACACUGUUCAUAACAGAGCAUAUUGCCUUUCAUAAUUGGUCUAGAUUGAAUAAAAUGUGAACUAGAAAGUCGUGUUCAUACUGGUUGACUUGUUCUAGUUGAGCUAUUUGGCUUAUGAAUUAAAGUGGUAAUUGUCAAGCAGCAGUAAUAGGAUGGAAAAUUGAACAAGCAGUCAUGGCACUUCAAGUUAUACGCCAUAGCUCACACAACAAAAGGAAAGGUUCCCAAGAUAACUAAUUAAAGCUUCAUUAAAAACUAGAACUCCAAAAUCUAUUAUCGGUGACCAACAAGAAAAGCUUUCAUACUCUAACCAAAUGAAAAUGUCAGCAGCAUAGGAGAAAAGAAUACUGUUCAUAAUAAGAUUAACAAUAUUUGACAUUCAGGCAUAAACUUACACUUCGUGGGUGAUUUUGAACUAUAUCAACAGCUUCUUGAUUGCUUAGGUGCUCCCAGAGCCCAUCAGAUGCAAAUAUCACGAAUUGAUCAUGUGGCUGCAGCUGGUGCACUGAUAUCGAUGGGUCCGCACUCAAUAUUGGCUUUUUGAAAGGUUCCCGAAGCCGAAAUUUGGGAUAUAAAGGCUCCCUGUUGAACUCAGCUUUUUUUAAAUAUACAUCACCGAUAGAUCUAGAAACCUGAAAGGCCAAGAAUUCCAUUAAUAAACUCUCACAAAGAGUAAGAGGCAGCAGAACAAACCAUGGAAAACCAUAGCAAGGAAAUUAUAAUCUUGCACUGCUGGACAAAUUGCAUGCACUUGUUAAAUGUACUAAACCUCUCUAUCUCUCAUUUGGGGGAACAAGGGGUUGUUUUUAGUAAUCUUAUCACAGAUAGAAUUAAGACACUGCACACAUUCUGGUCUAGUUCAAGGUUUGACAAAAAGUAUAGCAGUUGUAGCAGGAAAUUUGCACAGAAAGGAGAAUUGCCCAUUGCAGCAAUAGAAUCUCUUCACAUAUGAAAUCCAAGAAAUAGUCAUGCUUCUAGGUUCACAAUAUUUUUGAGAAGCUUUACAAUAUUUAUAAGGAUUCUGAUUGACAAAUGAGCACUUGCUGGGAAGUUUCUCAACCAAUUGACUAAGCAUCAGAAACCAGUUUAAACCAUCACUCAGAAUUUUUACUU